rnacentral:lncRNA from 1 species
UCUUCCUGCCGCUGAAGUCGGGGAUGAAGUCCGGCUCCCGUAGGAGUCCGGACGAAGUCUUCCUACCGCUGAAGUCGGGGAUGAAGUCUGGCUCCUGUAGGAGUCUGGAUGAAGUCUUCUUGCCGCUGAAGUCGGGGACGAAGUUCGGCUUCCGUAGGAGUCCGAACGAAGCCUUCCUGCCGCUGAAGUCAGGGACGAAGUCCGGCUCCCGUAGGAGUCCGGACGAAGUCUUCCUGCCACUGA